GCCCGCCUACCUCAGUCGGUAGAGCAUGAGACUCUUAAUGUCAUGGUCGUGGGUUCGAAUCCCACGUUGGGCG
rfam:Danio rerio chromosome 4, GRCz11 reference primary assembly.